rnacentral:tRNA from 1 species
AGCUCAAAUUGGUAGAGCGCUCCACCUGUAAUGGAGAGGUCCCGGGUUCGAUACCCGGGACCAGGCG